rnacentral:rRNA from 1 species
ACGUCAAGUCCUCAUGGCCCUUAUGACCAGGGCUACACACGUGCUACAAUGGCCGGUACAAAGAGUUGCGAUACCGCGAGGUGGAGCUAAUCUCAUAAAGCCGGUCUCAGUUCGGAUUGCAGGCUGCAACUCGCCUGCAUGAAGCCGGAAUCGCUAGUAAUCGCGGAUCAGCAUGCCGCGGUGAAUACGUUCCCGGGCCUU